rnacentral:tRNA from 1 species
GAGGGUAUAGCUUGGUGGUAGAGUGCCUGCUUAGCAGCAUGCACAAGGUCCUGGGUUCAAUUCCUAGCAUCCCCA